rnacentral:rRNA from 1 species
GACAGAGGUGCCAAGCGUUAGGCGGAAUCACUGGGCUUAAAGCGUGUGUAGGCGGAUCGUUAAGUACCUUGUGAAAUCCCACGGCUCAACCGUGGAACUGCUCGGUAUACUGGCGGUCUUGAGCCACCUAGGGGCAACUGGAAUUCUCGGUGUAGCGGUGAAAUGCGUAGAUAUCGAGAGGAACACCUGCGGCGAAGGCGGGUCUCUGGGCAACUACUGACGCUGAGGAGCGAAAGCGUGGGGAGCGAACAGG